UUUUAACUACCGAGCUAGAGUGGCCAGAGGGAGGCGGAAUUCCGCGUGUAGCAGUGAAAUGCGUAGAUAUGCGGAGAGGAACACCGAUGGCGAAGGCAGCCUCCUGAUAACACUGACGGCUCAUGCACGAAAGCGUGGGGAGCAAACAGGAUUAGAUACCCUGGUAGUCCACGCCCUAAACGAUGUCAACUAGCUGUUGGGGCCUUCGGGCCUUGGUAGCGCAGCUAACGCGUGAAGUUGACCGCCUGGGGAGUACGGUCGCAAGAUUAAAACCUCAAAAGGAAUUGACGGGGGACCCGCACAAGCGGUGGAUGAUGUGGAUUAAAUUCGAUGCAACGCGAAAACCUUACCUACCCUUGACAUGUUCAAUCCCGAAGAGAUUUGGGAGUGCUCGCAAGAGAACCGGAACACAGGUGUUGCAUGGGCUGUCAGUCAGUCGUGUCGUGAGAUGCUGGGUUAAGUCCCGGCAACGAGCGCAACCCUUGUCAUUAGUUGCUACGAAAGGGCACUCUAUCGAGACUGCCGGUGACAAACCGGAGGAAGCGUGGGGGAUGACGUCAAGUCCUCAUGGCCCUUAUGGGUAGGGCUUCACACGUCAUACAAUGGUCGGGACAGGGUCGCCAACCCGCGAGGGGGAGCCAAUCCCAGAAACCCGAUCGUAGUCCGGAUCGCAGUCUGCAACUCCUCGACUGCGUGAAGUCGGAAUCGCUAGUAAUCGCGGAUCAGCAUGUCGCGGUGAAUACGUUCCUCGGGUCUUGUACACACUGCCCGUCACACCAUGGGGAGUGGGUUUUACCAGAAGUAGUUAGCCUUAACCGUAAGGAGGGCGAUUACCACGGUAGGAUUCAUGACUGGGGUGAAGUCGUAACAAGGUAA
rnacentral:misc_RNA from 1 species